GGUUCCUGCAACUGCUGCAGACGCCACAGUUGAUGAGCCUCUUGCAGGGCACGCAGACCCCACACCUUUUCCUCUUCUUCUUGGCCGGGUUGGCUCCGCCAGCUCCCCCCGAGGAGGACGAGGAGGAGGAGGAAUGAUUCUGCGGGCAGUCUGCCAGAUUGGCAAUUUGAAACGCACUGUCUGUGACGGCUGCUGAGGCUGCUGCGGGGGAGUGAAGGGCUGUCAUGACGAUGACCCCUGGAGGUGGAGACAGAAAAUCAGAAGCAAUCAAAAUGCAGUUUAUGGAGCUUAGUCCCAACAAUUACCUCUCCAACUCCGUCACCUAUGGCCCACUGAAGAGGGCUCUUCAUUGCAGAAGAGAGUGUAGAAAGAUCGGAAGAGCCGGAAGGUUGAGGAAGUUGUUAUGGGAUGGAGUUUGCUCUGAGAUGGUGUCUCCUAGGAAUGUCAGAAGGGCUAGACCAAUAAAUAUCCUUUCAUGGUUAAAAAAUACUAUAAAAAUGAGGUCUGGAAGGAAUUUAUCCUAACAUAGGGGAUACGUGUGAAAACUUUCUAGCUUCUAUCAUUAUAAACAGAAGGAAAGCUGAAAUUGUUGUGCAGAGAUAGUGGUUCGAGACCCCUUUGGGGGUUGAAUGACCAUUUCACAGAGGUUGCCUGAAACCAUCUGAAAAAGAUAGUUAUAUUAUAAUUCAUAACAUUAGCAAAAUUACAAUUAUAAAAUAACAAUGAAAUUUAUGGUUGGGGGUCACUACAAAUUGAGGAACUGUAUGAAAGGGUCUCAGCAUGAUGAUGGUUGAGAACCACUGGUCUAAGAUGAGGAAUAAGACAAAGAUUCCAUCUUCACAACUCAUAUUUAAUAUAGUAUUAGAAGUUCAGGCCAAGAAAUAAAACAAGAAAAAGAAAUGAAGGACAUCCAAAUAGAAAAGGAACAAGUCAAAUUACUUCUGUUUAUAAAAUUAUGACUACACAUAUAGAAAAUCGAUUUCCUCCCUGCAAAAAUUUUUACAGUGAUAAAUUUAAUAGUUACAGGCUAUAAAACCACCAUAAAAAUAAGUAGCAUUUUGUACUUUAUUAAUAAAGUUUCUAAGAAACCAAAGAAGCAAUCUCAAAAACAGAUGUAAAAAAUACAUAAAAGAAAAUUUUAAACAAGGAAAUUAAUGAUCUCUGCAAAGAAAUGAACAAAACACUGUUGAGAUAAAUUGAAGAUGACACACAAAAAAUGAAAAGAAAUCCUAUGCUAUGCUUUUGGAAUGAAAAAUAAUAAUAUUAAUAUAUUAACUGUUCCUACCAAAAUAUCAUUGAAAUUUUUCAUGUAGAAAACACACUCCAAACAAAUUUUAUGAAACUACUAAAGAACUUAAAAAUAGCAAAAAGAGUUCUGAGCAAAACAAACAAUACCGGAGAUAUUGCAAUGUCUGCUAUGUAAACAUACUUAGUAUUACUAAAGAAAGUAUAGAGUGAUAGAAAGCAAAACAUAGGUGAAUGACCUGAAUUGACUUUGCCCCAAUAUAUUGUAUAAAUUGCUAAGAAGAAUAUGAAAAAAAAAAAACGUAUCAUCAGAGAAAUGCAAAUUGAAACCUCCUCAAGAUAUCAUAUUACCCCUAUUAGAAUGCAUAUCAUAAAAAGAACAAACACAGGUUGGCAAAGAUGAGAAAUUGGGAACUCUCAUGUAAUGGCGGAAAUAUAAAUUAGGACAUAAGGGAAAACAGUAUGGAAUAUAAUAUGGAAUUUCUCUACAAAGCUAUAAGAAAAGCCUUAUAUGAUCUAUGAAUCCCACUACUGCUAAGGAGUCAAAGGAAAUGACAUCAUCAUCAGGCAUGCUGCACUAGCAUGCUGGUUGCAGAAUUUUCAAAAUAGCCAGUACAUCGAAUCAGCCUAUGUGUAAGAUAAAUAGACAAGGAAAAUGUGGUGGAAAUACAUAACGGAGUGAAAGCAAUGAAGAGAACAGAAGUCUGUGGAUUGUAGCAUGACUGAAGACAUUAAAAAGAGUGAAAACUCAGACGCAAAAGCUGAAGUCACAUGCUCUCUCCUAUGGGUGCUAAAGUUGAUUUCACAGAGAAUAAAAUAAUACCAGAGGCUGCUUAGUAUUACACAGAGUAUUGUUGUUGGUUUCCAGUUAGCAGGUUGAUAUGGGGAAUAACUUCUAAUAUUUUUUUUCUUUUUUAAAAAUAUGUUUUAUUAUUACUUAUUUUCCUCAAUUACAUUUAGAAUGCUAUCCCAAAAGUCCCCCAUACCCCCCCCCCACUUCCCUACCUACCCAUUCCCAUUUAUUGGCCCUGGCAUUCCCCUGUACUGGGGCAUAUACAGUUUGUGUGUCCAAUGGGCCUGUCUUCCCACUGAUGGCCGACUAGGCCAUCUUUUGAUACAUAUGCAGCUAGAGUCAAGAGCUCUGGGGUACUGGUUANNNNNNNNNNNNNNNNNNNNNNNNNNNNNNNNNNNNNNNNAGGAUGAUGCCCUCCAGGUCCAUCCAUUUGCCUAGGAAUUUCAUAAAUUCAUCCUUUUUAAUAGCUGAGCAGUACUCCAUUGUGUAAAUGUACCACAUUUUUUGUAUCCAUUCCUCUGUUGAGGGGCAUAGCAUACAUAAUUACUAUGUUUCUUGACAAUUAAUUGAACAUUUCAAAAUAGAUAGCAGAGAGAAAUUUGGAUGCUCAAAUAUUGUAGGAAAAGUUUUAGAUAUUUCACUUAUAUUUCCAUGUCACAAACAUGUGUGGUAGGUUGUGUUUGUUUUUGUCACCCCUCUGUAACUAAAACCCUUCACAGAAGUAACUUGAGGGGGAUUUCCUUCAGCUCGAGGUUUCAGAGGGCUGUCAUUGAUUUUAGAGAAGGGAAGCACAACAGAGCAGUUCGGUUCAUAUUGGUGAAAGCUGUUCGCAUGGUAAUGGAUGAGGAAGCAGAGCCAGAUAGCCUGCAAAGGGAAUGCCUCUCCAGACCUACUUCUGCCAGAUUGGCCCCAUUCUGCAAAGUUCCUGCAACCUCCCAAAAGAGAACCAUCAGCUGGGAAAGAAGCCAAACAAGACUUCAUAACGAGAACUUCUGAGGACUAAUUCAGAGGGAAAUCACACACUAUGGAUUAACUAAAAAUAAAAAUAAAGGAGGAAAAUCAUUUUUCUCAGUGGUGCAGCCAUUGAUAAGCUACAUCCAUCCCAUAGAAACAAUACAAGUUAAAAUUAAGUAGGGGUAUUCACGUAUAAAAACAAAUAAAAAUGUAUAUUAAUACAAAUAUAUUACAAAUAAUAUAUAUUCUUACAAAUAUUACAUAUAUACAGAGAGAAACUGCUUAGUUUUCAGAAAGAGAUAAACAUCAUAACUGACUACACUAAUAAUGUUACUAUCCUUAUGAACACUGAGAGCUGUUACAUGAGAAUAGUUGUAAUUUAAUACUUAAUAUUUCCUUUUCUUUGUGACUGGCAUGUCCAUUUCUACAUGUAGUUUUUAUGAAUUCAUUUUCAAAUUCUUUCUUAUGUGGCUGUAGACUUCAGUGCCCUGUGAGUUACAAGAUGACCACCAACAAUGAAAGGAUAGUUUAUUGUCACAAAGGAUAUAUUCAAAAUGGGAACAAUUUAGAGACUUAUUUUCUCAGUAUCUCAAAUAUUUUGCUUUACACUCAGGUACUAAUAAUUCUUUCAAUGUUUUCUGUUGCUCACUGCUACCCUCAUGUUUUGUGAAAUAAUCCUGUAGAGAUUGUAUAGUUAUCAAGGCCUCCAAGGUUGUCUUAUAUCAUUUUUUGCCUGUUUAUUUUCCUGUCAAUCCACGUGUAAACAUUAAACGAGGUACUCAUAUCAUACCCUUAAUGAAUGCUGCUGUGUGUCCUUCCUUGUCAUGAUGCUGUCUGAGAUCUUUCCUAUAUCUUUAUAUGUAUGUGAAGGAUUAACAAGACCUAUACUUGUUCCAGUUAUGAUUUUUUUCACUAUUUAUUUCCCAUCAAGUGUUUAAAUAUAAAUUUAUAAAU
ensembl:antisense